rnacentral:rRNA from 1 species
UGGGGAAUAUUGGACAAUGGGGGAAACCCUGAUCCAGCCAUGCCGCGUGAGUGAUGAAGGCCUUCUGGUUGUAAAGCUCUUUCGCUGGGGAAGAUAAUGACGGUACCCAGACAAGAAGCUCCGGCUAACUUCGCGCCAGCAGCCGCGGUAAUACGAAGGGAGCUAGCGUUGUUCGGAAUUACUGGGCGUAAAGCGCACGUAGGCGGAUUGCCAAGUCAGGGGUGAAAUCCCGGAGCUCAACUCCGGAACUGCCCUUGAUACUGGUUGUCUUGAGUUCGAGAGAGGUGAGUGGAAUUCCGAGUGUAGAGGUGAAAUUCGUAGAUAUUCGGAGGAACACCAGUGGCGAAGGCGGCUCACUGGCUCGAUACUGACGCUGAGGUGCGAGAGCGUGGGGAGCAAACAGGAUUAGAUACCCCCGUAGUCC